UGUUGGACAAUGGGGGAAACCCUGAUCCAGCGACGCCGCGUGAGUGAAGAAGUAUUUCGGUACGUAAAGCUCUAUCAGCAGGAAAGAAAAUGACGGUACCUGACUAAGAAGCCCCGGCUAACUACGUGCCAGCAGCCGCGGUAAUACGUAGGGGGCAAGCGUUAUCCGGAUUUACUGGGUGUAAAGGGUGCGUAGGUGGCAAGGCAAGUCAGAUGUGAAAGCCCGGGGCUCAACCCCGGUACUGCAUUUGAAACUGUCUGGCUAGAGUGCAGGAGAGGUAAGCGGAAUUCCUAGUGUAGCGGUGAAAUGCGUAGAUAUUAGGAGGAACACCAGUGGCGAAGGCGGUUUACUGGACUGUAACUGACACUGAGGCACGAAAGCGUGGGGAGCAAACAGG
rnacentral:rRNA from 1 species